UACGUAGGGUGCAAGCGUUAAUCGGAAUUACUGGGCGUAAAGCGUGCGCAGGCGGUUUUGUAAGACUGUCGUGAAAUCCCCGGGCUUAACCUGGGAAUUGCGAUGGUGACUGCAAGGCUAGAGUUUGGCAGAGGGGGGUAGAAUUCCACGUGUAGCAGUGAAAUGCGUAGAGAUGUGGAGGAACACCGAUGGCGAAGGCAGCCCCCUGGGUCAAAAACUGACGCUCAUGCACGAAAGCGUGGGGAGCAAACAGG
rnacentral:rRNA from 1 species